rnacentral:rRNA from 1 species
UACAGAGGGUGCGAGCGUUAAUCGGAAUUACUGGGCGUAAAGGGCUCGUAGGCGGCCAACUAAGUCAGACGUGAAAUCCCUCGGCUUAACCGGGGAACUGCGUCUGAUACUGGAUGGCUUGAAUCCGGGAGAGGGAUGCGGAAUUCCAGGUGUAGCGGUGAAAUGCGUAGAUAUCAGGAGGAACACCAGUGGCGAAGGCGGUGCUCUGGGCCGGAACUGACGCUGAGGAGCGAAAGCGUGGGGAGCAAACAGG